CAAGGACUUCCUUUCUAGAGAUCUCCCUGGGCCUGCCAGGGCAUGUUCAGAAAAAUACAAUUGUAAUAUCACAUCAGCCAGUAUAACAUCUCUCACCAUCUGAAGAUCCUUCAUUUUUGUGAGCUUUUGCUGGUCAAGUUUGGGUUGUCUGUUUUCCUGUGUUUUGCAUUCUUCCACGGGAAGAAAAAAUGUUCUUCCAAGGCUGAUGAAAAGUAACUCACUCUUCUGAAUUUUCAGCGGCAUCUUGUACAUCUACACAGUAGAUAGAAGGCCAGCUUCCUUGCUGAUACUUUGCUGUGAACUUCCCAAAUGAACUUUUAGAUGUCCUCCUUUCUGGCAUUCACGGAGAUGUGACUACAUUUCAUGAGUGAUGGCAAGGAUUACAUCUGAAAAGAUGGAGAGAUUUUGGCAAAUCUGAUGUCCUUUUGAAGCCACUACCCUACAAGGCACACAUGUUGCAUCUAUUACAUCUACAUCUAGGAGCAGCAGACAGUUUACUGAAAUCCAUCCUUCUUUGUCAUUGGCAAUCUCACAGAAAGGAGGCCUAAGCAUGAAAUAUGAAAGGAUUUAGCACAUUACAAGUAGAGAUAAGUUGCUGCCUGAGGAGUAGUUGAUGUGAAGACAUGGGAGCUGCUCAUGAAACGUUUUAUUUGACUGUUGGAGAAUUGUUUGUAGCCUGCUUUUUGUGACUCCUUUACAAAUAAUUUAAACCAGGAUAAUGAUUCUAAUGGAUGAAAAUUAAAUACUGAACGAAAAAGGUUCAGGAAAUAAGAAAUUAUCCUGUUUGUGAACACACAGAUUUGUCCACACAAGAAAUUAAAUGCGAACUGUGUGAGUGCCACUUAACAUCCAUCAGAAGAACAACAGUAGGUGGACAGAAGUGGUCCUCUAAAAGACUCUGUGGACUACUGUAAAUUUAUUUUGUUUCUGAGUGGAGGAACAGCUUCCCAACACCUGCAUAGACAUGCAUCACUGCUGUUCUGUUCUCAUUCUAAUACUGUCAAUGGGUAAUCAACAUCAUCAAGGGGCACUCACAGCAGUGAACCAUUGGGAACUGUCUUGAGGAGUUCCAGUGCAUUCAUCCGGGCAAAAAUCCUGGCCAUUACCAGUGGUGGAAGUCAGAAACGGAGGUGAAAUAUUCCCCCUGUACCCUAGCAUUGCCAGCACCGGAUGGAUGGAUAUGGAAAAAGUCUGCAGCUUUCCAUGCACGGUUGAAGACUAAGCCAAGUGGUACAAUAUGCAGUCUGAGCUUCUGUAUUUUCAGGGUCUGGUAAAGAAUCAUGAAACCAUUUAUUCUGUGCUUCCAUAUAAGACAAUAUUCUGUGGUGAUUCGUCUUGCUGUAGAAGGAUAUCUGCAGAAAAAUUAAACCAGGUAAAACACAGUACAUCAUUUAAGUAGGUCUGAAGCUUAUGAAUAUGCCAAAAUACUGUCAGUUAAAAUUUGUGUGUGAGCUCAUAUCAGCUUUUCAUGGAUACAGGUUAUGGGACAGAGCAGGGCAAGGAGUGUUGAUUUUCUGCUUACACAAACACUAUUAACUUCAAGAGUCUGAGCAGUGUUUCUCAAACAAAGAAUUUAUGACUCCACCCAAGCCUAUGGGAAAAAAAUAAUUAAAGUCACAUUAUUCCUUCCAAAUACUCAGAUUCCAAAUGUUUGGUAGCCAGCUCCCUGUUGUGGUAAUGCUCCCACUUCUGCACAGAAUUUGUAUUCUAGACCUACAUGAAAUUAGUACAUAAAAUGAACUGAGUGAAUGAUUUGUUAGAAGAACUUUUUGUUGUGAAAAUGUAAUGAAUAUUUCAUGAUUCGAAUUCAAAGCAACUAUAAAUUUAAAAUAUCAAGUUUUGCUGUGAUGCAUAAAAACUAUUCAUCAUAACUGUUAAAUACAAACCAUGUUCACUCCUCGUACGAACCAUAAAUAUGACAAGAAGUCCCAGAAAGAAAGUUGCAGUUAUGGCUAAGAAGGAGUCUAUGGAACGAAUACAGUAAAAUUCCUCCCAAAUGUUUUAAAUAACGCUGUCUUUCCUGAGGAUAGAUUACAUUUCAUUGACAUCAAGAUUUGCAAAUCAGUUAGGGACACCAAAACUCAAACACUGCCAUUGCAUCCCCAGGACAAGGUAAUAUUAAACUUCAUUAGAAAAAAAAAUACUAAAAAGCAAAGAAUAUGUCUUACAAAGCCCUGUGCCAAUUUGUUUGCAAGAAUCUCCAAACAUUUUCUCCAAUGACAGUGUGAACACCAGGCCUUACAACACAGCUCCUGGUCUUAAAAAGUCACUUUGGAAAGGACAGAUCUCUUGGUUUCUGAAAGAAUCUUUAGUAGAUCGAAAUGUAGCAUGAAUACCACGGACUGUAUUUCCCCUGAAGUAAACUAUAUGUUGUUGUUUUUGAGAUCUAUGCCAGUGAAAAUAUCUGAAACUUUCUAAGCAUGGUGGUGCAUGGUUUCAUACGAUGGCAGGAGUGAAUUUUAAGCUGGUUGGAUAAAUUUGGCUCAACUGGUUAAUUUAUUUGGUGAUGCUGAGAUCUUACAUUUUCCUCCAGUUCUUACUAUUGAUAUACAGAACUGUGUUUUUUUGAAAGAAGGCCUAUGCAGUAGCUUUUGGUACUUGUCUGAGGUACUAUAAGACAUGGAUUUCAAGAAAAAUUCAGCCCAGGUAAAUUGCCCUAUAACCAAACCCAUAAAAAAAGUAUAUGCAUAAAUUAAAGUAAAUUAAGCUACGUAAAUAACAGAGAUUGCUAACCCUGAUCCACUACGACAGUGGGGUCCAUCCCAUCAGAAAGAGAAGCUCUGCAGGGCAGGCUCUGCAGCACAGUGCCACACUCUGGGUUGUUUUACAGAAAAGGCUCCAACUGUAGCAUCCUUCCAUUCUAAGGAGGGGCGCUACUUGAUCUGGCCAUCAAGACAAUGUAAAAUAUUGGACAAAGAGACAAAAUGCUGUUAUUGCCAUAGGGGUUCAGAGACAUAAUAGAGAUGAGGCUUGUAGG